CCAGCACCAGGAUUGUGAUCUGUGCAGUAAUGCUGUGUAUUGAGGACUUUUCUCCUCAGGCACUUUACAUCAGGAUGUUGUGGUCUCUCCUCACUAAGGGAGAUGUUCUUGGUUGUGCUGUGUGCAAUGUGGGAGCAUGCAUGGUGCCCUGCUGAAGGAGGAGUCCUGCCUGGCAGCCUGCAGCAAUAGAAACCACCAGCACUACGACACGGAGCAGAGCAGUGACCGCGUGGUCCCAGAGCUCCAGGAGCACCCCAGCAUUCCCAGACACAAACAGCCUUAGUGGAGGGAGAAUCCUAGAAUGGCCUGGGUUGAAAAGGACCACAGUGAUCAUCUCAUUCCAACCCCCUGCUAUGUGCAGGGUCGCCAACCAGCAGACCAGGCUGCCCAGAGCCACAUCCAGCCUGGCCUUGAAUGCCUGCAGGGAUGGGGCAUCCACAGCCUCCUUGGGCAAACCACUGUUAUGUCGUCAUGGACAUCCAAGUGAGUGUCAGCAUGCCCAGAUUUGGAGCUUAAGGGAAAGUUUGAAAGCGAACAGAGAUCGGUGCCAGAAGGGUGGUGUCAUGGAGGUGAUCCGGCCUUGCUGCUCAGGUCCCUGCAGGGCUGCAUUGCUGGGCUCGCUGUGUGCAUCACAAAUGGGGCUCCUCAGAGCCA
rnacentral:lncRNA from 1 species